CGAAUGGGUGAGUAACGCGUGAGGAACCUGCCUCAAAGAGGGGGACAACAGUUGGAAACGACUGCUAAUACCGCAUAAGCCCACGGGUCGGCAUCGACCUGAGGGAAAAGGAGCAAUCCGCUUUGAGAUGGCCUCGCGUCCGAUUAGCUAGUUGGUGAGGUAACGGCCCACCAAGGCGACGAUCGGUAGCCGGACUGAGAGGUUGAACGGCCACAUUGGGACUGAGACACGGCCCAG
rnacentral:rRNA from 1 species